AUUGAACGCUGGCGGAAUGCUUUACACAUGCAAGUCGAACGGCAGCACGAGGGCAACCUUGGUGGCGAGUGGCGAACGGGUGAGUAAUACAUCGGAACGUGCCCAGUCGUGGGGGAUAACGUAGCGAAAGCUACGCUAAUACCGCAUACGAUCUAUGGAUGAAAGCGGGGGACCGUAAGGCCUCGCGCGAUUGGAGCGGCCGAUGGCAGAUUAGGUAGUUGGUGGGGUAAAGGCUCACCAAGCCUGCGAUCUGUAGCUGGUCUGAGAGGACGACCAGCCACACUGGAACUGAGACACGGUCCAGACUCCUACGGGAGGCAGCAGUGGGGAAUUUUGGACAAUGGGCGCAAGCCUGAUCCAGCCAUUCCGCGUGCAGGAUGAAGGCCUUC
rnacentral:rRNA from 1 species